UACAGAGGUCUCAAGCGUUGUUCGGAUUCAUUGGGCGUAAAGGGUGCGUAGGUGGCGGGGUAAGUCUGGUGUGAAAUCUCGGGGCUCAACCCCGAAACUGCACUGGAUACUGCCUUGCUCGAGUACUGGAGAGGAGAUUGGAAUUUACGGUGUAGCAGUGAAAUGCGUAGAUAUCGUAAGGAAGACCAGUGGCGAAGGCGAAUCUCUGGACAGUUACUGACACUGAGGCGCGAAGGCCAGGGGAGCAAACGGG
rnacentral:rRNA from 1 species